rnacentral:rRNA from 1 species
UACGAAGGGGGCUAGCGUUGCUCGGAAUUACUGGGCGUAAAGCGCACGUAGGCGGCUUUCUAAGUCGGGGGGUGAAAUCCUGGAGCUCAACUCCAGAACUGCCUUUGAUACUGAGGAUCUUGAGUUCGGGAGAGGUGAGUGGAACUGCGAGUGUAGAGGUGAAAUUCGUAGAUAUUCGCAAGAACACCAGUGGCGAAGGCGGCUCACUGGCCCGAUACUGACGCUGAGGCACGAAAGCGUGGGGGAGCAAACAGG